UACGUAGGGGGCAAGCGUUGUCCGGAAUCAUUGGGCGUAAAGCGCGUGUAGGCGGCCAGAAAAGUCCGCUGUGAAAACUCGAGGCUCAACUUCGGAAUUGCCUUUGAUACUGUCUAUCUUCGAGUUCGGGAGAGGUUGGCGGAAUUCCUAGUGUAGAGGUGAAAUUCGUAGAUAUUAGGAAGAACACCAGUGGCGAAGGCGGCCAACUGGCCCGAUACUGACGCUCAUGUGCGAAAGCGUGGGGAGCAAACAGG
rnacentral:rRNA from 1 species